UCCCAGUUGUGGACGCCGAUGCCGGUUCGGUGGCGGUUCGGCAUUGGGUUCGAUUCGGUUCGAUUCGAUUGAUUCUUAACUGUUUGCUUAAUGGCAAUUUGAAUAAAAGCCAGUACGAGUACGGCCUUCCUCCUCUGAUAACGGGCCGCAUAAAUUACGGUGAAAAGCAGAAAGCUGAUUGAAAACUUUUCGCAUUUCCCGAUAUUUUUUUGAAGGCAAUCUUGUUGUUGCCAUUUUUGUGAAUUUUUUUUUUGUUAAUGUGCCAAACCAAAGAAAAAAGUUAAUCAAAACUAAAAAAUACAAAAUAAAUCGGAAAUUUGUGCGAUAAGCCAAGCCCCCCUCCAGCCGCGCUCUCUUUUGAACGGAAGCUAACGGGAAGCUGAUAAACAGUUUGGCGCUCAAAAGAGUGGAAGGAGUGCUUCAAGAGUGGAAAACAGUAAAAGCCGGCAUCAUCAGCAGCAGCAGCAGCAGCAGCAACGGAAGCUCUCAAAAGAGAGCAAGAGGCCAAAAGCCGGCAGAGGCGCGCUCAAAGAGAGGCCGAAGGAGCAGCAGCAAGAACCGUUUAAUGAACA
rnacentral:sRNA from 1 species